UAGUAACGGCGAGUGAAGCGGGAAGAGCUCAAGCUUAAAAUCUCCGUGCAAGUUUUGUGCGGCGAAUUGUAGUCUAUAGAGGCGUGGUCAGCGUGGGCGCUUGGGGCAAGUUCCUUGGAAGAGGACAGCAUGGAGGGUGAUACUCCCGUUCAUCCCUGAGUUGCUCGUGCGUACGGCCCGUUUUCUUUGAGUCGCGUUGUUUGGGAAUGCAGCGCAAAGUAGGUGGUAAAUUCCAUCUAAAGCUAAAUAUUGGUGCGAGACCGAUAGCGAACAAGUACCGUGAGGGAAAGAUGAAAAGAACUUUGAAAAGAGAGUUAAAGAGUACCUGAAACUGCUGAAAGGGAACCGAAUCGUUUCCAGUGUCUAUAAUCCGUGGUAUAUUUCAUUGGCGAGUGUGUGCGUGCGUGUGCUGUGGCAGCGGCUUUUUAGGCUGCGCUCGGCGUGUGUGCUGUGUGUGCUUGCUGGUGCCCUGUACUGCGGUGGGACGUCAAGGUCAGUUCGUAUGCUGCGGGAAAUGGCUGCCGAGGAGGUAGGGCUUACGCUUGCGUUUGUCUGUUAUAUCUUGGUGGACGAGUAGUCGCGGUUGGGACUGAGGUGCCUACAACGUGCUUUUGAGUGGGUUUGUGUCUCCGUGUGCGCCGUGUGCGGAUAGCUUGCUAUGCGUGUGUGGUUGUGUGUGGAUUGAUGCGGGCUUUAACUUGUUGCCGUUC
rnacentral:rRNA from 1 species